rnacentral:rRNA from 1 species
CCUACGGGUGGCAGCAGUGAGGAAUAUUGGUCAAUGGACGGAAGUCUGAACCAGCCAUGCCGCGUGCAGGAAGACGGCUCUAUGAGUUGUAAACUGCUUUUGUACAAGGGUAAACCUGAAUACGUGUAUUCAGCUGAAAGUACUGUACGAAUAAGGAUCGGCUAACUCCGUGCCAGCAGCCGCGGUAACACGGAGGAUCCAAGCGUUAUCCGGAUUUAUUGGGUUUAAAGGGUGCGUAGGCGGAUUGAUAAGUUAGAGGUGAAAUGUUCGAGCUUAACUCGGGAACUGCCUUUAAUACUGUUGGUCUAGAGAGUAGAUGCGGUAGGCGGAAUGUAUGGUGUAGCGGUGAAAUGCUUAGAGAUCAUACAGAACACCGAUUGCGAAGGCAGCUUACCAAUCUAUAUCUGACGUUGAGGCACGAAAGCGUGGGGAGCAAACAGGAUUAGAUACCCUUGUAGUC